rnacentral:rRNA from 1 species
AUGGCUCUGAACAAGGGUAUCCUCGACCAUGACAACCGGAUCAUCCGAAGCUUCAUAUGGAUUGCUAGGAAGGAUGCCAGACACGGUCAGUGCCUCUUCGCUUGGUCAAGGGUGUGUCGGCCUUUAUCCUAUCGUGGUUUGGACGUUCCUGAUAUGCACCAAGUCGGGAUCACGCUCCGAGUGCGCUGGUUGUGGCUACAGCGCACGAACGUGACGAGACCAUGGAAAAACCUUCACCUGCCCUUCGACCCCGACGCUAGUGCCAUGUUUCGCGCAUCUACAACCUGGCGGGAAUGGUCUUUGUUGCAUGUUCUAUACUAA